rnacentral:ncRNA from 1 species
CAUGGCGACGUGAUAGCUGAAAGAAGCGAUAGCAAAGUGUUGAACCGACGUACAGAAAUCACUUCAGGCCGACGUGGAGGGCAAGAGUGCCAAAUAACUCGAAGUCCAAUAUCUAUACGGAAUUCACGUAGGUAAAGGUGGCGG